rnacentral:lncRNA from 1 species
CACGGGAGGGUGGCUGUGCGAGGUACUGCCGGGGCUGAGCUCUCAUGGAGGCUCUCUCUGUUCUCUGAAGUGCCUUUGGAGUUUAUGUCUGCACAUGGCAUUGGUUUUUCAAUUCGGGCAGCCCGUCAGGGCUCAGCCUCUGCCAGGACUCUGCCACGGCAAGCUCAUUCGGACAAACGCCUGUGAGUCUCACUUCUAUCACCCAGGCUGGAGUGCAGUGGCAUGAUCUUGGCUCACUACAACCUCCACCUCCCAGGUUCAAGCAGUUCUCA